UCAUUUAAGCAGCUCUAUUUCACUUUAGUCAAAUCCAUCCUUGAGUAGGGAUCACCUGUCUAUAGCUUUGCAUUAAAUCAUUGACAUCAAAACAUUGACCCUAUUGAAGGGGUUUAAAACUAAUUGUUAAAGUUCAUAGCAUUCAAAUUCAGCUAAACCAACACGAUUUUACGUCGAUAAGAUCCCUUCUAAGCCUUCCUAUUCUAGCCUCUAUACGUGACUUAGCUGACAUAUUAGCUUUUCUUUAUAAAUCAAUUAAUAACCACAUCGAUGCACCUUAUUUUUUUACAAAAUAUUCCAUUUAACAAUCUAACAUAUAAUAAUCGGGUCACUCAU